UCCGGCUCUGAAUGAGACAUCCCAUAAACCCAGCUGCUGUCCCUGGCUCUGCUGCCACUCACGGGGUUCCCCCAAAGGGUGGGAAUCAGAGCCUGCCUCUGACAGGUGCCCGUGUGGGUGACAGGUCUCCUGCCACCCGUUCACCCGCUGUAGGACAGACACACAGACAGUGCCCUCUGAAUGCCCUGUCAUCCACUGUCUUCUGCCCCUCCCCAAACUUCUGGAAGGUGAAGAGAAAGCAUUCGCUCCAACCCAACAACGCCUAUUAAAAUAAAAAUCUCAGUGAUGUAGAAUCGGAAGGUCACUUGCUCAGUGUCAUAAAGGGCACCCGAUAGCUCACAGCAGACCUGACGCUGGAGAAUGGAUGACUUUCUCUUUGGGAUCUUGAGCCUGGCAAACGACCUGAAUGUGAUUUAGAGGGCCCUGAAGCAUCUACAACGGCACAUGAAAUUGAAGCCCACCCUCCAAACCUCUUCACUCCCGCCGGCCCCCAGCCCACCACCUCCCUUUCUUCCCAGAAGAAACCACAACUCAGAAUUUGGUAUUUAUCCAUCUCAUACCACGUUUUUGUUCCCUUGCUAUGGGCAUAUGUAACCAUCAAAGCCUACAGUGCUGCUCUGUGUGUUUUUAAACUCUGUGAAUGAUACCAAGCAGAAAAUCUGCUCAGAAGCUCUGUGCUGACUGGGAGGGGCUGGAAGUAGGCAUACGCCAAAGGCUUGGGGCCAGGCAAGGCUGGGAGCCCACGGCACUGGCCCUUAGCAAAGCCACAGACCCUUUCUGCUCCUUGCCACCCACCCUUCCACCCCGCCCCAUGCCCCCAGUCACGAGGACCCACUGGGCUUGCAGCUGGUCAGCUUGUGCUUUAGUGGGGGAAGAGCCUCUCCAAGGGUGGGGUGGCCAGCUGGCCUAGAAGUGUAGGUCUGGGGGCGGGGGGAGCCUGGGUGAGCCUAGCAGUGUAGGUCGCGGGAAGGCGGGGAGCCUGGGUGUAAAGUGCUGCUUUCAGCUGCACCAGGGCCUCCAGGAACGGCAGCUCCAUGACAGACCCCAGCCUUAAAGUGGGGACGGGUGGGACACACAGUUUUUGACAAAUGAGGUUAAUCGAG
rnacentral:lncRNA from 10 species